ACGAACGCUGGCGGCACGCUUAACACAUGCAAGUCGAACGAGAGAAGAGGAGCUUGCUUUUCUGAUCUAGUGGCGGACGGGUGAGUAACACGUGAGCAAUCUGCCUUUCAGAGGGGGAUACCGAUUGGAAACGAUCGUUAAUACCGCAUAACAUAAUUGAACCGCAUGAUUUGAUUAUCAAAGAUUUAUCGCUGAAAGAUGAGCUCGCGUCUGAUUAGCUAGUUGGUAAGGUAACGGCUUACCAAGGCGACGAUCAGUAGCCGGACUGAGAGGUUGAUCGGCCACAUUGGGACUGAGACACGGCCCAGACUCCUACGGGAGGCAGCAGUGGGGAAUAUUGCACAAUGGAGGAAACUCUGAUGCAGCGAUGCCGCGUGAGGGAAGAAGGUUUUAGGAUUGUAAACCUCUGUCUUCAGGGACGAAAAAAGACGGUACCUGAGGAGGAAGCUCCGGCUAACUACGUGCCAGCAGCCGCGGUAAUACGUAGGGAGCGAGCGUUGUCCGGAAUUACUGGGUGUAAAGGGAGCGUAGGCGGGAUCGCAAGUCAGAUGUGAAAACUAUGGGCUUAACCCAUAAACUGCAUUUGAAACUGUGGUUCUUGAGUGAAGUAGAGGUAAGCGGAAUUCCUAGUGUAGCGGUGAAAUGCGUAGAUAUUAGGAGGAACAUCAGUGGCGAAGGCGGCUUACUGGGCUUUAACUGACGCUGAGGCUCGAAAGCGUGGGGAGCAAACAGGAUUAGAUACCCUGGUAGUCCACGCCGUAAACGAUGAUUACUAGGUGUGGGGGGACUGACCCCUUCCGUGCCGCAGCAAACGCAAUAAGUAAUCCACCUGGGGAGUACGACCGCAAGGUUGAAACUCAAAGGAAUUGACGGGGGCCCGCACAAGCAGUGGAGUAUGUGGAUUAAUUCGAAGCAACGCGAAGAACCUUACCAGGUCUUGACAUCGUAUGCAUAGCUCAGAGAUGAGUGAAAUCUCUUCGGAGACAUAUAGACAGGUGGUGCAUGGUUGUCGUCAGCUCGUGUCGUGAGAUGUUGGGUUAAGUCCCGCAACGAGCGCAACCCCUGUUUCUAGUUGCCAGCAUGUAAAGAUGGGAACUCUAGAAAGACUGCCGUAGAUAAUACGGAGGAAGGUGGGGAUGACGUCAAAUCAUCAUGCCCCUUAUGACCUGGGCCUCACACGUACUACAAUGGCUGUCAACAGAGGGAUGCAAAGCCGCGAGGUGGAGCGAACCCCUAAAAGCAGUCUUAGUUCGGAUUGUAGGCUGCAACCCGCCUACAUGAAGUCGGAAUUGCUAGUAAUCGCAGAUCAGCAUGCUGCGGUGAAUACGUUCCCGGGCCUUGUACACACCGCCCGUCACGCCAUGGGAGUCGGUAACACCCGAAGCCUGUAGUCUAACCGCAAGGAGGACGCAGUCGAAGGUGGGAUUGAUGACUGGGGUG
rnacentral:rRNA from 1 species